rnacentral:siRNA from 1 species
GGGACGGCUUCACGUGCUCAAAAUA